UUUGAAUUUGAGUUGUUUUUUCAUAUGGAAAAGUAAACAAGAUAUCUGCAAUACAAUUCUUAGUUCAUGGUGGCUUUACAUCAUCACUGUGCCACAUUUCUUUUAAACAUACUAAAGUUUAAUCUUCUGAUUAUUUUGUGUAUGAGGAGGUGGUCAUCACUUGCAAUUUCAGGUCAACUUAAUUUAAUAAUGCAAUGAAUGCAAUAUUCUUGUUCUUUAAACAGCAUCAGCGUUGGAUCCGCGAUUUAAAGAACUGCCCUACCUGGAAAAAGAGGACAGAGAACAGGUCUACACAAAACUGGUUUUUGAGGCAGAAGUGUCCCACCAGAUGCAAGCAAUGGGAAAUCAGGAGGAAGACGAGGGAAGCUCAAGCACAAAGCUGUCAGGAUUCAAUGAAGAGACCACAGCUCCAAAUGAGUCACCUCCUUGUAAGAAGAAAGCCUUAGAUGCGCUGUUUGGCGAUUCCUUCACCCAAAGAGAAAGAAAAUCCACAAACGAG